GGUCGUUUGAGACCGUGUGGUAAAACUCGCUAAGUGUUUGAGCUUGUUUAAAGUUGAAAAUAGAGUUCGGUACGAUUUCGUGCCAAUCGACAUGGGCAUGUUUCGGUCUUGGUGACUGCGAGCUGGCGUAGAAUAAAUGGUGUUGGGUGUUUGGUUACGUGUUCCUUGCGUAGCGGCUGAGAGGUCGAGGUAUUCAAACUGUGAAUUAUUGACUUGAUUUGUGCAGAUCUCGUAGUACGCGAUCGCGAAUCAUAUCGCACUCACUGCCUCAUGCGAUCUUCGAAUACUUCAGUAUGGUUUUUCUGGAAUUAUCGUUUUCAUUCACAUGAAAUGAUUUCGUGGUCGGAGCUUCUAAGUGAUGUUCUCAGUCCUAUGUUAUUCGUGACUUUCCAUGUUUCGAUCGUUUGAGGUCGGGCUACUUCUACGGUGGAUGGUUUUUUUUCAUAAUGAAGGGGAUGGACUAUCGCUUGAGGAGUGUGGAGAACAAGGCUCGAGCCUUCUUUGCGUCUCU
rnacentral:lncRNA from 1 species